rnacentral:rRNA from 1 species
CCUACGGGGUGCAGCAGUGGGGAAUAUUGGGCAAUGGGCGCAAGCCUGACCCAGCAAUGCCGCGUGAAGGAAGAAGGCUUUCGGGUUGUAAACUUCUUUGACAGGGGAAGAGCAGAAGACGGUACCCUGAAAACAAGCCACGGCUAACUACGUGCCAGCAGCCGCGGUAAUACGUAGGUGGAAAGCGUUGUCCGGAUUUACUGGGUGUAAAGGGCGUGUAGCCGGGAAGGCAAGUCAGAUGUGAAAUCUGGAGGCUCAACCUCCAAAUUGCAUUUGAAACUGUUUUUCUUGAGUACUGGAGAGGCAGACGGAAUUCCUUGUGUAGCGGUGAAAUGCGUAGAUAUAAGGAGGAACACCAGUGGCGAAGGUGGUCUGCUGGACAGCAACUGACGGUGAGGCGCGAAAGCGUGGGGAGCAAACAGGAUUAGAUACCCCUGUAGUC